rnacentral:lncRNA from 1 species
GAGAUUAAUUUAUUAGUAGAAUAAGACGUAGCGACAUAUAUGCAUCAUGGUUGAAAGGGAUACAGGGAAACCAUACGUGCAACAAACAGCAAAGUAGAAAUAAAUAAGAGUCCACAAAAGUAGCAACCUUUACGAUUCGAAUAAUGCAUAGGGCGCUUAUUGUCAUAGAUAGGUUGAUCAACAUCACUAUCUACAAAAAAGGUUAUUACCAUUACAAUUAUGUUUACCUGACUUGGAUUUUGUAAUACAAUUCGAAUAAUUUUCAGGGCAAGGCUUCGCUGCUGCCUUAUUAGCAUUAAGCGCCUCUAUAGAUAUGUGACCGCUACCUUGCUGGAGGAUUCUGAUAACGGUAGAAUCUAUCAUCAACAAAUCCAGCUCCGACUCCAAUUCUUCCCGGAUAACGCAGCCGCCGAGAAGGCCAUUGCACUGGUAAGUGGCAUUGCUCCUAAGUACUAGGACGGCAUCUC